rnacentral:rRNA from 2 species
ACGGGGUGCAGCAGGCGCGAAACCUUUGCAAUGUGCGCAAGCACGACAAGGUUAAUCCGAGUGUUUCCUGCUAAAGGAAUCUUUUGUUAGUCGUAAAACCACUGAUGAAUAAGGGGUGGGCAAGUUCUGGUGUCAGCCGCCGCGGUAAAACCAGCACCUCAAGUGGUCAGGAGGAUUAUUGGGCCUAAAGCAUCCGUAGCCGGCUCUGCAAGUUUUCGGUUAAAUCCAUUUGCUUAACAAAUGGGCUGCCGAAAAUACUACAUAGCUAGGGAGUGGGAGAGGUAGACGGUAUUCGGUAGGAAGGGGUAAAAUCCUUUGAUCUAUUGAGGACCACCUAUGGCGAAGGCAGUCUACCAGAACACGUUCGACGGUGAGGGAUGAAAGCUGGGGGAGCAAACCGGAUUAGAUACCCGGGUAGUCCCAGCUGUAAACGAUGCAGACUCGGUGAUGCGCUGGCUUGUGGCCAGUGCAGUGCCGCAGGGAAGCCGUUAAGUUUGCCGCCUGGGAAGUACGUACGCAAGUAUGAAACUUAAAGGAAUUGGCGGGGGAGCCC